UUAAGAUAAAAGCCCGGGGCUCAACUCCGGUUCGUCUUAAAAACUGGUAGACUUGAGUGUGGUAGAGGUAAAUGGAAUUUCUAGUGUAGCGGUGAAAUGCGUAGAUAUUAGAAGGAACACCAGUGGCGAAGGCGAUUUACUGGGCCAUAACUGACGCUGAGGCACGAAAGCGUGGGGAGCAAAUAGGAUUAGAUACCCUAGUAGUCCACGCCGUAAACGAUGAGUACUAAGUGUUGGAGAUUCCAGUGCUGAAGCUAACGUAUUAAGUACUCCGCCUGAGUAGUACGGUCGCAAGGCUGAAACUCAAAGGAAUUGACGGGCACCCGCACAAGCGGUGGAGCAUGCUGUUUAAUUCGAAGAUACGCGAAGAACCUUACCUAGACUUGACAUCCCCGGCAAAGACAUGGAAACAUGUUGGAGGUUACCCGGGAGACAGGUGGUGCAUGGUUGUCGUCAGCUCGUGUCGUGAGAUGUUCGGUUAAGUCCGCUAACGAGCGCAACCCUUAUCCUUAGUUGCUAACAGUAAGAUGAGAACCCUAAGGAGACUGCCGGUGAUAAGCCGGAGGAAGGUGGGGAUGACGUCAAAUCAUCAUGCCCCUUACGUCUAGGGCUACAGGCGUGCUAUAAUGGCCAAUAUAAAGAGAAGCAAUACCGUGAGGUGGAGCAAAACUCCAAAGUUGGUCUCAGUUCGGAUUGAAGUCUGCAACUCGACUUCAUGAAGUUAGAAUCGCUAGUAAUCCUGAAUCAGAAUGUCAGGGUGAAUACGUUCCCGGGUGUUGUACACACCGCCCGUCACGCCACGAAAGUCUGUAAUACCCGAAUGUGGUAGCCUAACCUUUUAGGAGGGGGCCAUUUAAGGUAGGACAGGUGAUUGGGGUGAAGUCGUAACAAGGUAUCCCUA
rnacentral:rRNA from 1 species